rnacentral:rRNA from 1 species
GAUGAACGCUGGCGGCGUGCCUAAUACAUGCAAGUCGAGCGAACAGACGAGGAGCUUGCUCCUCUGACGUUAGCGGCGGACGGGUGAGUAACACGUGGAUAACCUACCUAUAAGACUGGGAUAACUUCGGGAAACCGGAGCUAAUACCGGAUAAUAUAUUGAACCGCAUGGUUCAAUAGUGAAAGACGGUUUUGCUGUCACUUAUAGAUGGAUCCGCGCCGCAUUAGCUAGUUGGUAAGGUAACAGCUUACCAAGGCAACGAUGCGUAGCCGACCUGAGAGGGGGAUAGGCCACACGAGAACGGAGACAGGGACAAGACGCCUAAGGGAGGGAGCAGUAGGGAAUCGUCCGCAAUGGGCGAAAGCCUGACGGAGCAAGGCGGAGUGAGUGAUGAAGGUCUUCGGAUCGUAAAGCUCUGUUAUUAGGGAAGAACAAAUGUGGAAGUAACUAUGCACGUCGUGACGGUACCUAAUCAGAAAGCCACGGCUAACUACGUG